GAAAAAGAUGAAUAUGAUUGUUUUGUGUCCCACAAGAGCAUCAAAGAACCAAUUAUCGCCAAAUGUGAUGGUAAAUGCCCACCAAAUGCUGUCGCAGAGAUAAUUGGAGCAGUGAUUGGAGGUGUGCUUAUUGCGGCAAUUUCUUACUUAUUAUUAACAGUUUACAUCUUAAAGAAGAGAAAGAUUAUUGGACGAGAGUCACGAGACACUGCGGGUGCGUCAGACGUCAAUGAAACUCACCAUUAUUGGGACAAUGUUAACCAAGAG